UCCGAAAGGGUAUCGGAGGCGCUCAAAGGUCCUCUCAGGAUGGACGGAAACCAUCCGAAGAGUGCAAAGGCAUAAGAGGGCUUGACUGCGACACCGACGGGUGGAGCAGGUACGAAAGUAGGACUUAGUGAUCCGGUGGUAUAAAGUGGGAUUGCCAUCGCUCAACGGAUAAAAGCUACCCUGGGGAUAACAGGCUUAUCACUCCCAAGAGUUCACAUCGACGGAGUGGUUUGGCACCUCGAUGUCGGCUCAUCGCAUCCUGGGGCUGUAUUAGGUCCCAAGGGUUGGGCUGUUCGCCCAUUAAAGCGGUACGCGAGCUGGGUUCAGAACGUCGUGAGACAGUUCGGUCCCUAUCCGGCGCGGGCGUAGGAUAUUUGAGAGGAGCUGACCUUAGUACGAGAGGACCGGGUUGGACUGACCUCUGGUGUA
rnacentral:ncRNA from 1 species